rnacentral:rRNA from 1 species
AAUGAACGUUGGCGGCGUGGAUUAGGCAUGCAAGUCGAGCGGUAGGAGUUCACACACCCCGGCUCAUUUAAUUUAGCCCCCGGUCAAUGACUGGGGGGCCAAAUAGAUUAAGUGAACGAGGUGUGUGGACUCUGAGAGCGGCGAAAGGGAGAGUAACGCGUAGUUACGUACCCCGGGGUCCGGAAUAGCCACGGGAAACUGUGGGUAAUGCCGGAUAACAUCCCCGGAUCAAAGGUGUGAUUCCGCCCUGGGAGCGGACUGCGUUGUACUAGCUAGUUGGUGAGGUAAUGGCUCACCAAGGCAAUGAUGCAUAGCGGGUGUGAGAGCAUGACCCGUCUCACUGGGGACUGAGACACUGCCCAGACACCUACGGGUGGCUGCAGUCGAGAAUCUUCGGCAAUGCGCGCAAGCGUGACCGAGCGACGCCGUGUGUGGGAUGAAGGCCU